GGCAGGACGUAUCGGAUUACUGGGCGUAAGCGUGCGCAGGCGGUUUUGUAAGUCUGUCGUGAAAGCCCCGGGCUUAACCUGGGAAUUGCGAUGGAGACUGCAAGGCUUGAAUCUGGCAGAGGGGGGUAGAAUUCCACGUGUAGCAGUGAAAUGCGUAGAGAUGUGGAGGAACACCGAUGGCGAAGGCAGCCCCCUGGGUCAAGAUUGACGCUCAUGCACGAAAGCGUGGGGAGCAAACAGGAUUAGGUACCCUGGUAGUCCACGCCCUAAACGAUGUCUACUAGUUGUCGGGUCUUAAUUGACUUGGUAACGCAGCUAACGCGUGAAGUAGACCGCCUGGGGAGUACGGUCGCAAGAUUAAAACGCAAAGGAAUUGACGGGGACCCGCACAAGCGGUGGAUGAUGUGGAUUAAUUCGAUGCAACGCGAAAAACCUUACCUACCCUUGACAUGUCAGGAACCUCCGAGAGAUUGGAGGGUGCCCGAAAGGGAGCCUGAACACAGGUGCUGCAUGGCUGUCGUCAGCUCGUGUCGUGAGAUGUUGGGUUAAGUCCCGCAACGAGCGCAACCCUUGUCAUUAGUUGCUACGCAAGAGCACUCUAAUGAGACUGCCGGUGACAAACCGGAGGAAGGUGGGGAUGACGUCAAGUCCUCAUGGCCCUUAUGGGUAGGGCUUCACACGUCAUACAAUGGUACAUACAGAGGGCCGCCAACCCGCGAGGGGGAGCUAAUCCCAGAAAGUGUAUCGUAGUCCGGAUCGCAGUCUGCAACUCGACUGCGUGAAGUUGGAAUCGCUAGUAAUCGCGGAUCAGCAUGUCGCGGUGAAUACGUUCCCGGGUCUUGUACACACCGCCCGUCACACCAUGGGAGCGGGUUUUACCAGAAGUAGGUAGCUUAACCGCAAGGAGGGCGCUUACCACGGUAGGAUUCGUGACUGGGGUG
rnacentral:rRNA from 1 species